AUGCCAGCCACAGAUGCAGGUGAAACGUCAAGAGAGAAUGCUACUGGAACACAGCUAUACAUGCCAAAAAACUCAAAGCAACCCCGGGAUUCCGGCCACGAUAGCCUUCACAGCACAGAAUGGCUGACUAAAAUAAUUUCUAAAACAAUCUGGAUUCGAAGUGUAAGUCCGUCUUUCCACCCAAAGAUAUUUCCUGUGCAGUCACAAGUAACAAUGUUCAGGAGUGUCAUAGACAUUGAGGAGUUGUGUAUUCAAUUGGAUCCUAGUAUAGAACGCUUGAUAGCAACUCCCUGUUCACAUAAUGCUUCAUGGGUCUGUAAAGCCCCAUUAGCUUCAGAGCCCGUGGAUGCUCCAGAGAAGUGGUGGAUGUCAUUGGUGUCCUCCCUUUCAGUAACCAUUGUUGUAUUGGUGGUGACUGUGUUUGUUACAUAUAAAUAUGGAUUCUGGGUUACAGAAGUAGCAAAUGAAGUGAAACCACAAUCCCUUUAGUCAGAUGGCCAGAGCCAUUCAUAUAUAGAAAGAGAAAAACCAAAUAUACAUUGUUGGUUGUCUGUAAGAAGCAAACCCAUUGACUACUUUUUGCUUGUUAUUUAAAAUGUAUAAACUGGUGAGGUGGAUAAGACUUAAAGUGUAAGAAAACAAUACUGAGGAAAGAAAAAUAGGAAACUGUCUAGAGGCUUUAGAAAGUAUUUUUAAAACAUUUAUGAGGCUGCAAUAAUUUAAAAGUAACGGCAGAACGUAUUUUAAUAGAAAUUAUUCCUUUAAUACAAAGUCUUAAACAAUUUUGCAGCCAUUAAGAAAUCUUCCACAUGUCUGUUUUCUUGUUUCUUAAAUUAUUAAAUAUAUUUGUGAAAAGGGUAUCUUCUUUUUUGCAGUUAAUUUGCAGGUAACAAAGCUUCAUGUCUUGAAGUAUGCUUUGUGUAACUUGAAAAACUUUUGCUCCAUUUUGAGUUCAUCAGAAAUAUGUUUUAUAAUCUCGUAUAGGUUAACUUUAUGUAUCAGCUGAUGGCAGGUUUGGGUGUUCAAAUUAUGGCUUUUGAUAGGACCCAUGGAUAUGUUGAGGGUCAUUCUAUGGGGACGGAAAAACAGCAGCACUCAAUGGGAGGAUGGUGGUGGCUGCCAACACCGCCAUUUCCCCAGUCGGGCAUACAUAAAGGCCAAAAGUGAUGCCAUGGCAAAGAGAAUAGAAAAGACUGGUGCUUUUUGUAUAUUCUCCUGGGACAGACUGCACUCUCACCUUUGCCAUGCAACUCAAAGAAUGGGAUGGUUCCUUUAUGUACACUAUUUACCCUGGCCUAUGGAUAAGUUGACCCAGGUUUUUUGAGUUGAUUUUUUUUGCUAAAAUUUUCAGACUUAUACAUGAGUAUAUAUAGUAGUUUGGGUUUUUUUCUCCCUGAGAUCUGUUUUGUCCAAAUAAUUAUAGGGAGAUUGUAAACAGAUAAUGUGGUUUACUGUGUUUAGAAUUUUGACGGUCAAUUAUGCUGAUAUCUAGGAGAAGUAGAUGUUCCUCAAGGAAGUGAUUGUUCUUGAUCUAUGUUAUUAAAAAACACUUCCAUGUUUCAAGGAGAUGCCUUAAACAAUCUUGAGAGGCAAUAAAAUGAGUUAAUACAUGUUUUCAUUUGAUAUGCGAUUGUGAGGUAACGCUUACUGAAGAUCUCUUGGCAGGAGGCAGAGCAAAUUAUGCCAAGCUUGAGGCAGAUUUUUUUUGUAACUCCUGGAUGAUAAAAAACCCCU
ensembl:lncRNA